rnacentral:lncRNA from 1 species
CGAUCAUCGACCGGUCAGCAGAGUCAGUGAACACGAUCACGCUGGGAGAAACUGGGGAGAUAAUCGGUAUCAGUACACAUACUCGAACAGCCAUCAUCCCAACCAGAGGCAGCUACCACACUAGGAGAUCAUACCGUGGACAAGUGAGAAGCGUCGCCACCACCACAUGAGAGCACGAGAGAAGGAAUGGAGCGAAAGAUCCGUCGGCAUCAUCAUGCUGGAGAAGUUAAGUUCAACACGGCACGCACACCAUUAAAGCUCGCCGGCAGAACAAGUGAACGAUCGCAAAGGAGUGGAGUUUAAUUGGCUUCCAUCUGUAAGCCAAACCGCGUGUGCCGUUCAGUCGGCGGUGAAAAUUUCCAUUUCGGAAUUGAACAAAGUGCGUUCGUUAAAAAACCCCUCGAAGACGGCCCACUGGAUUAGCUGAUCUUAUUCUCGACCUGUGAGCAGGUGUAACACCCGGAAACCAGCGUAAGAAAUCGAUUGGCCAGAGGGAAGAACAACAGGCCAAAAGAAGCUAAAUCCGCGUGUGCUUUCCAAGAAGGAGGGAUUCGUCGAAAAACCAGACCAUCUGGAUUGUCGGCCGCCAUUGCCGAAAAUCAUUCCCGAUUGGAAAUAGAUGACUGUCCACGCACGGACUCUGGAUUAAACACGCUAGGUGGAGACAAUCGUGUGAAGAGCAGGAGAAAGUCGAGAAUCAUCACCGGCCAAGCCGAAAGCCAACUCGAUCGCCAGAACCAUCCCGACAGAAGCGACUUAGACCGGAUCACGUCGCAGAGCAGAGAGCCCCUCUAGAAGGGGCUCUUUUCUUUCUUGCAGUUUUGCGCACUCAACGUGCCUAGAGGACGAGACAGGUUGCGGCGUCGUAAAUCGAACAUUCCGUUCGCAAUAUCACCCACCCCACACACGAAGAGCAGUCGCGCCAAGCAAAGCGCGCAGCACAGAGGAUUUCCGUAGCGGAGUUGCCACGACAUACAGGCGAGACGCGUAAUACGGAGGUUUGCUGUACCGGAGGAAUUUUGAUCGGAGGUAUGCCUAUCGAAAGGUAGUGGAUAUGUUGGCUAGGAAGGCGGCAGCUGUGCAGCAUCAACAGGACCGGCGCAAGGCUUCCCUGGAAGACUAUCCGGUGGCGUGAGAGCAUGCAGAGUCAGUGAGUCCUAGAGUUUAAGAGCAAUGCAUAUUAGCUUUUAAGAAUCCUAGUGCAGGAUAGCGUAGGAGGUCUCAGGACCGAGAAUAGGAGGCCAGGACAGG